GAUUAUGGCUCAGGAUGAACGCUAGCUACAGGCUUAACACAUGCAAGUCGAGGGGCAUCAGAUCGAUAGCUUGCUAUUGAUGCUGGCGACCGGCGCACGGGUGAGUAACGCGUAUCCAACCUUCCCCUUAGUAGGGGAUAGCCCGGCGAAAGUCGGAUUAAUACCCUAUGUUAUUCGUCGAGGACAUCUGAAAUGAAUCAAAGGUUUACCGCUAAGGGAUGGGGAUGCGUCUGAUUAGGUAGUCGGCGGGGUAACGGCCCACCGAGCCGUCGAUCAGUAGGGGUUCUGAGAGGAAGGUCCCCCACAUUGGAACUGAGACACGGUCCAAACUCCUACGGGAGGCAGCAGUGAGGAAUAUUGGUCAAUGGGCGAGAGCCUGAACCAGCCAAGUAAGCGUGCAGGAUGACGGCCCUAUGGGUUGUAAACUGCUUUUAUCGGGGGAUAAAGUGACCCACGUGUGGGUGUUUGUAGGUACCCGAUGAAUAAGGACCGGCUAAUUCCGUGCCAGCCGCAGC
rnacentral:rRNA from 1 species